UAAUUUAAAGUCUUGCCUGCCCAAUGAUUAUUUUAAUGGCCGCGGUAUUUUGACUGUGCAAAGGUAGCAUAAUCAUUAGUUUUUUAAUUGAAAGCUGGAAUGAAUGGUUUGAUGAGAAAUAAACUGUCUCUUUAUAAAUUUUUUAGAACUUUAAUUUUAAGUGAAAAAGCUUAAAUAUUAUAUAAAGACGAGAAGACCCUAUAGAGUUUAAUAACAAAUUUAUUUAAUAAGUUUAGGGUUUUACUUUAUUUAAUUAAAUUUGGUAUUUUAUUGGGGUGAUGUAAAAAUUUAAUAAACUUUUUAUUUAUUAUAACAUUUAUUUAUGGAUAUUUGAUCCUUAUUUUUGGAUUAUAAGAUUAAAUUACCUUAGGGAUAACAGCGUAAUUUUUUUUAAGAGUUCUUAUCUAUAGAAAAGUUUGCGACCUCGAUGUUGGAUUAAAAUUUAUUUUUGGUGUAGAAGCUAAAAUAUUAGGUC
rnacentral:rRNA from 1 species